rnacentral:rRNA from 1 species
CCUACGGGUGGCUGCAGUGGGGAAUAUUGCACAAUGGGGGAAACCCUGAUGCAGCGACGCCGCGUGAGUGAAGACGUAUUUCGGUAUUUAAAGCUCUGUCAGCAGGGAAGAAAUUGACGGUACCUGACCAAGAAGCCCCGGCUAACUACGUGCCAGCAGCCGCGGUAACACGUAGGGGGCAAGGGUUAUCCGGAUUUACUGGGUGUAAAGGGAGCGUAGACGGCAGGGCAAGUCUGGAGUGAAAUGCGGGGGCUCAACCCCCGGACUGCUCUGGAAACUGCCAGGCUGGAGUGCAGGAGAGGUAGGUGGAAUUCGUAAAGUAGCGGUGAAAUGCGUAGAUAUUAGGUAGAACACCAGUAGCGAAGGCGGCUUACUGGACUGUAACUGACGUUGAGGCUCGAGAGCGUGGGGAGCAAACAGGAUUAGAUACCCCGGUAGUC